GUGACACAAGGGUUCCUAUAUGAUCUCCAAAGUUAAGCAACAUUGAGCUUGGUCAGUACUUAGAUGGGUAACUGCUUGGGAAUACAAGCUGCUGUAAG